CUGGGAUUAGAUACCCCACUAUGCUUAGCCCUAAACACAAAUAAUUGCAUAAACAAAAUUAUUCGCCAGAGUACUACCGGCAACAGCCUAAAACUCAAAGGACUUGGCGGUGCUUUAUACCCUUCUAGAGGAGCCUGUUCUAUAAUCGAUAAACCCCGAUAAACCUCACCAGUCCUUGCUAAUACAGUCUAUAUACCGCCAUCUUCAGCAAACCCUAAAAAGGAAUAAAAGUAAGCACAAUUAUAAGACAUAAAAACGUUAGGACAAGGUGUAACCUAUGGAGUGGGAAGAAAUGGGCUACAUUUUCUACCUUAAGAAAACUUACACGAAAGUCACUAUGAAACUAGUAACCAAAGGAGGAUUUAGUAGUAAACUAAGAAUAGAGUGCUUAGUUGAAUUAGGCCAUGAAGCACGCACACACCGCCCGUCACCCUCCUCAAAUGACUAACAAUACACUUAAAUCUAUUUAAAUCUACCAACCACAUGAGAGGAGACAAGUCGUAACAAGGUAAGCAUACUG
rnacentral:rRNA from 1 species